AGCAGCCGCGGUAAUUCCAGCUCCAAUAGCGUAUAUUAAAGUUGUUGCAGUUAAAAAGCUCGUAGUUGAAUUUCGGGGUUAGUAGGUUGGUCAUGCCUCUGGUAUGUACUGGUCUCACUGAUUCCUCCUUCCUGAUGAACCUUAAUGCCAUUAAUUUGGUGUUUUGGGGAAUUUGGACUGUUACUUUGAAAAAAUUAGAGUGUUUAAAGCAAGCUAACGCUUGAAUACAUUAGCAUGGAAUAAUGAAAUAGGACGUUCGAUCCUAUUUUGUUGGUUUCUAGGAUUGACGUAAUGAUUAAUAGGGAUAGUUGGGGGCAUUAGUAUUCAAUUGUCAGAGGUGAAAUUCUUGGAUUUAUUGAAGACUAACUACUGCGAAAGCAUUUGCCAAGGAUGUUUUCAUUAAUCAAGAACGAAAGUUAGGGGAUCGAAGGCGAUCAGAUACCGUCGUAGUCUUAACCAUAAACUAUGCCGACUAGGGAUCGGAUGAUGUUAAUUUUUUAAUGACUCAUUCGGCGCCUUA
rnacentral:misc_RNA from 1 species